ensembl:snRNA U6 U6 spliceosomal RNA
GUGCUUGAUCCGGCAGCACAUAUACUAAAUUUGGAACGAUACAGAGAAGAUUAGCAUGGCCCCUGCGCCAAGGAUGACACACAAAUUCAUGAAGCAUUCCAUUAAAAA